AUUUCGACUUCAAUAAGUAACGUUUUGAAAUUUUUGAACUUGACGAUUAUGACUGCACGAAUUCACAAUAAGUCAAAAUCGCCUUACUCAAAUUCCGCGAAAGUCGAAGAAUUGACUUAUUGUCAAAUAUAGAAUGUAUAUGGGAAAGGAAUGUCAAAUAUAACGUCAAAGAGUCAGAUCACGAAACCAGUUUCUUGCUUAUGUAUUUUAUCAAAGAUAUAUUUAUCGAUUCUCUUUCUAUAAAAACUUAAAAGAUAAACACGCGUAAGUUAUCAUUUUAUUUUGGGUUUUGUUCAUACAUGUAGGAAAAUUUUUGUUACAUUGGUGGAUCUUGUAUUACGGGAGAUAGCACCCUACAAACUUCAUCGGAUUGCUUUGUGUGCGACUCCCAGACAAACCCCUACAGGUGGACUAAAGUUUCCUGUAAUGAUGACGACAUCGGUUUAUCUUCUUCUGCACUUAUCGGCAUCAUAGUUGGUUCAGUCUUUGUCGGUAUCAUAGCAACCGUUGCCGUGGUGUAUGUACGAUGUAACAAACUAACGAAGAAUCGGGGGACUGUGUCUGUGGGUGAUAUGAAUUCAAGUCAGGCGUACUUAUCAGCGGGCCCGGCUAGAGAAACAUGGGGUGGCAAAAAACAUUAAAAUAAGAAACAAAAUGUUGCUGGAUAUGUCGUGCAACGUUAGUGAAUGGAAAUAGAAAUGUUGCUUUUUUCUUACUUUGUGUGAUAACUGUAAACAGACACUUUUCUUAACUUACACGUGUUAGUACAGAUUGCUAAUAUAUUUAUUCAAAGAGAUUUUCAAGUUAAAGUGACCAAUGGUACAUGUUGUUUUUUGUUGUUGUUGUUUUCAAUGUUUUUUAUAAUUUUUAAGUUAGUUUGUUUUUGUUUUUUGGUUGUAUUUUUUUUUGUUCUUGUGUUUCAAUAUUAGAAAUUUUGAAAAAGAUGUAAAAAAUUCAUUUAUGAAUUUUUUAGUAUAUAUUGUAUGUAUUAAUUACCAAACUGAGCGCGGUUUCAGAGUGAGGGUACAAAUUCAGGGUGGGGCGCGGAAUUAGGGUGGGCGCCCCUAGAAUUCACAAAUUAACUCGUAUUAACAACGUGUUUGAAUGAUUCCCAUGUUUAAUGUUUCCUAUAGAAAAGAAUUGAGUGUCUUGCUGUUCUUUCAUGUCUUAUGUUUAAUGUUCUUAUAGAACAAAAUGAGUGUUUAAUGUAUCAAAAAUGGCACCGGAAUGCACCACUUACACGUAAAUGUUUACAUUUUGGAGCCGUAUCCUCAUAAAUGUGAAGCUUAUCCUCUCCCGUCCCUUUGUACGUGUAAUGUCACUUAUACAAACACUAUGCUCUGCUAUUAUUGUUCUUAAUGUGUCAGUUUUGACUUAAUAAACAGAUCAUUAUCA